UACGUAGGUGGCGAGCGUUGUCCGGAUUUACUGGGCGUAAAGAGCGCGCAGGCGGUCGUUCAAGUCGCGUGUGAAAGCCCCCGGCUCAACUGGGGAGGGUCACGCGAUACUGAUCGACUCGAAGGCAGGAGAGGGAAGUGGAAUUCCCGGUGUAGUGGUGAAAUGCGUAGAUAUCGGGAGGAACACCAGUGGCGAAGGCGACUUCCUGGCCUGUUCUUGACGCUGAGGCGCGAAAGCUAGGGUAGCAAACAGG
rnacentral:rRNA from 1 species